rnacentral:rRNA from 1 species
GACGAACGCUGGCGGCGUGCUUAACACAUGCAAGUCGAACGGUGAAGGGGUCUGCUUUUGUGGGCCCUGGAUGAGUGGCGAACGGGUGAGUAACACGUGAGUAACCUGCCCCCUUCUUCUGGAUAACCGCAUGAAAGUGUGGCUAAUACGGGAUAUUCUGGGUCUGUCGCAUGAUGGGUCUGGGAAAGAUUGCGCCUUUGGGUGUUGUUGGUGGGGGAUGGGCUCGCGGCCUAUCAGCUUGUUGGUGGGGUGAUGGCCUACCAAGGCGGUGACGGGUAGCCGGCCUGAGAGGGUGGACGGUCACACUGGGACUGAGACACGGCCCAGACUCCUACGGGAGGCAGCAGUGGGGAAUAUUGCACAAUGGGCGCAAGCCUGAUGCAGCGACGCCGCGUGAGGGAUGGAGGCCUUCGGGUUGUAAACCUCUUUCGCCAGUGAAGCAGGCCUGCUCCUUGUGGGUGGGUUGACGGUAGCUGGAUAAGAAGCGCCGGCUAACUACGUG